GGGCGUGUGGCGCAGCGGUUUAGCGCGUCCGCUUUGCAUCCUCCAGCUUGCGGAAGGUCCCGUGUUCAAAUCGCGGUUCGUCCA